rnacentral:rRNA from 1 species
CUCAAAGGAAUUGACGGGAGCGCACCACCAGGAGUGGAGCCUGCGGCUUAAUUUGACUCAACACGGGGAAACUCACCAGGUCCAGACACAAUAAGGAUUGACAGAUUGAGAGCUCUUUCUUGAUUUUGUGGGUGGUGGUGCAUGGCCGUUCUUAGUUGGUGGAGUGAUUUGUCUGCUUAAUUGCGAUAACGAACGAGACCUUAACCUACUAAAUAGUGGUGCUAGCAUUUGCUGGUUGUCCGCUUCUUAGAGGGACUAUCGGUUUCAAGCCGAUGGAAGUUUGAGGCAAUAACAGGUCUGUGAUGCCCUUAGACGUUCUGGGCCGCACGCGCGCUACACUGACGGAGCCAGCGAGUCUAACCUUGGCCGAGAGGUCUUGGUAAUCUUGUGAAACUCCGUCGUGCUGGGGAUAGAGCAUUGUAAUUAUUGCUCUUCAACGAGGAAUUCCUAGUAAGCGCAAGUCAUCAGCUUGCGUUGAUUACGUCCCUGCCCUUUGCACACACCGCCGG